rnacentral:rRNA from 1 species
AUUGAACGCUGGCGGCAGGCCUAACACAUGCAAGUCGAACGGUAACAGGAAACAGCUUGCUGUUUCGCUGACGAGUGGCGGACGGGUGAGUAAUGUCUGGGAAACUGCCUGAUGGAGGGGGAUAACUACUGGAAACGGUAGCUAAUACCGCAUAACGUCGCAAGACCAAAGAGGGGGACCUUCGGGCCUCUUGCCAUCGGAUGUGCCCAGAUGGGAUUAGCUAGUAGGUGGGGUAACGGCUCACCUAGGCGACGAUCCCUAGCUGGUCUGAGAGGAUGACCAGCCACCCUGGAACUGAGACACGGUCCAGACUCCUACGGGAGGCAGCAGUGGGGAAUAUUGCACAAUGGGCGCAAGCCUGAUGCAGCCAUGCCGCGUGUAUGAAGAAGGCCUUCGGGUUGUAAAGUACUUUCAGCGGGGAUGAAGGGAGUAAAGUUAAUACCUUUGCUCAUUGACGUUACCCGCAGAAGAAGCACCGGCUAACUCCGUG